rnacentral:rRNA from 1 species
CCUACGGGAGGCAGCAGUGGGGAAUAUUGGGCAAUGGGCGCAAGCCUGACCCAGCAACGCCGCGUGAAGGAAGAAGGCUUUCGGGUUGUAAACUUCUUUUAUCAGGGAAGAAGAAAGUGACGGUAGAGGAUGAAUAAGCCACGGCUAACUACGUGCCAGCAGCCGCGGUAAUACGUGGGUGGCAAGCGUUAUCAGGAUUUACUGGGUGUAAAGGGCGUGUAGGCGGGAGUGCAAGUCAGAGGUGAAAACUCUGGGCUCAACCCCUAGCCUGCUUUUGAAACUGUACUGCUUGAGUGCUGGGGAGGCAAUCGGAAUUCCGUUUGUAGCGGUGAAAUGCGUAGAUAUUCGGAGGAACACCAGUGGCGAAGGCGGCUUGCUGGACUGUACCUGACGCUGAGGCGCGACCGCGUGGGGAGCAAACAGGAUUAGAUCCCCUUGUAGUC